rnacentral:rRNA from 1 species
ACUCCUACGGGAGGCAGCAGUGGGAAGUAUUGCACAAUGGGCGCAAGCCUGAUGCAGCCAUGCCGCGUGUGUGAAGAAGGCCUUCGGGUUGUAAAGCACUUUCAGCAGUGAGGAAGGCGGAGUCGUUAAUAGCGGCCUCGUUUGACGUUAGCUGCAGAAGAAGCACCGGCUAACUCCGUGCCAGCAGCCGCGGUAAUACGGAGGGUGCGAGCGUUAAUCGGAAUUACUGGGCGUAAAGCGCAUGCAGGUGGUUUGUUAAGUCAGAUGUGAAAGCCCGGGGCUCAACCUCGGAAUAGCAUUUGAAACUGGCAGACUAGAGUACUGUAGAGGGGGGUAGAAUUU